CUGCCGUUUCCAGCUACAAUAGUCAUUUACAACAUUAACACUGUAGUUCUGAUACAUUUGUUGUUAUUUUAAUGGACAAAAAAAAGUGUUUUUCUUUCAAAAACAAGGACAUUUCUAAGUAACCCCAAACUUUUGAACGGUAGUGUAUAUGGAGCUUGCCCACAGCACAAUCACUACCAUUUUUGAACAUGGAGGAACAUCACAUCCCUGAACAGCAGCUACAUACUCAUGGAAGAGAAAUAAGAAGGUGUGUAAGAAUGUGUGGUGGUGGUGGUGUUAGGGGAAGACAUAAUAGAGGAAGAGGUAGAAGACAAAGAAUAAGAGUCCCCAUGGUCUUACAAUGGAAGAGGCUGGUCGGAGAGUGCAGGUCCACAGUGUCAUCAAUUGUGCAAACAUUCCAUAGGGAAAACAGAGAAUAAUGGAGCUGGAAGGACAUGAAAUGACCCACAGUCUUGUUUUUGUGGACUAUGCUGGGUUCAAUCUGACCAAAGGCAGGAGGCGUGGCCGCAAUCUCAUUGGACACCGAGCCACAAUUGGCACACCAGGCCAACGUGGGGGCAAUAUUACAAUGUGUGGUGCCAUUUCUGAGAAUGGUGUGAGCACACAUGUUCCACACAUUGGGCCCUAUAACACCCAACUUCUCCUGGUCUUCCUAAAUACACUUUACAGAGAUCUAAUACCAGAACACGAAAGAGGUUUAGUUAGACCAGAUUUGCCAAAUUAUGUAAUUGUGUGGGAUAAUGUCAGCUUGCAGCAAACCUUUCGCAUGAAAGGAUAACAAUGGAGUUCCUUCCACCAUCCUCCCUAUUCCUGAAUCUGAUAGAAGAGGUUUGUUCAGCAUGGAGGUGGAAAGUAUAUGACUAUCAGGCACGAGAUCAGAUGUCUCUGUUAGAUGCCAUGAAUGCUGCUUGUGAGGACAUCUCAGGCGAUCAUUGCAGGGGAUGGUUGCGCCACACAAGGAGAUUUUUUUCCCCCUGGUGCAUCUCAAGGGAAAAACAUCAGAUGUGAUGUUGAGGAAAAUCUCUGGCCAGACCAACAAUAGUGACAG
rnacentral:lncRNA from 1 species